UUUACUAAGGAUUAAGCCAUGCAUUUCUAAGUAUAAAUCAUUUUUAUGGUGAGACUGAGAACGGCUCAAUAGGCUCAGUUAUAGUUUAUUUGAUAAUGACGGGGUGUUCGCAUCUCAUUUUUUUUAAUUGGAUAACCGAGGAAAAGCUUGGGCUAAUACAUGCUUUACAACAAACGUCAGACUUUUUUUGAGGAAUGACGGUAUUUAUUAGAACAAAGAAAACCAAACGUCGGUAGCAAUAUCGGCGGUCAAAAAAAACUCAGCAUGAGUGAUAAUAACUCGUGAAGUUUGGGAACGUUGACAUCUUAGCAGCAAUGUUGAGGCGUCGACAUCAUUCCUGAAUUUCCGCAGCGAAUCGUACACAAAGACAUGCCUCUUCAAUCGGGGCACGAUGAUUGAUUCGAAUUUCUGCUCUAUCAACUAUUACGCUGUGUAGUGGACAGCGUAGGUUUUGACGGAUACGGAGGAUUAGGGUUCGAUUCCGGAGAUGGCGCAUAGAGAAAUGGCGACAACUUCUAAGGAAGGCAGCAGGCACGUAACUUACCCAAUGUUCAAAAAGCGAAAAGAACGAGGUAGUGACAGUACAUAUAAACAUGGCCGGUCUACGAUCGGUUUUGAUUUAAAUGAGUACAAUGUAAACAACUUAACAAGGAUCAAUUGGAGGGCAAGUCUGGUGCCAGCAGCCGCGGUAAUUCCAGCUCCAAUAGCGUAUAUUCGAGUUGCUGUAGUUAAAAAGUUCGUAGUUGGAUUUUAAGAGUGAUAUGCAUAAAGGGUUUGACGCGCAGAAAAUCUGUCGUUGGAUACCUUUAAUCACUCUCCACACUAAAAAUUUUGGGUAAUACGUGUUGGCGACGCCCCUAAAAAAGGUGUGGCUAACGCAUGCGUGUUAUCCCGUUUACUUUGAGGAAAUUCGAGUGUUCAAAGCAGGCAACAUUAGUUUUGCCAAUUUUUGAAGAUCACAGCAUAGUAUAAUAGAAUAGGUUCUGAUAACAAAGAGCACAAAUACACUUUUUGGUUUUGACUUUGUUAUUGAAAAUGAUUAAUAGAAACAGCUUCACGCUUGGGGAUAUUCAUAUUUGAUUGCUAGAGGUGAAAUUCUUGGAUUUUUCAAAGAUGAAC
rnacentral:rRNA from 1 species